rnacentral:rRNA from 1 species
CCUACGGGCGGCAGCAGUGAGGAAUAUUGGUCAAUGGACGAGAGUCUGAACCAGCCAAGUAGCGUGAAGGAUGACUGCCCUCUGGGUUGUAAACUUCUUUUAUAUGGGAAUAAAAUGUUCCACGUGUGGGAUUUUGUAUGUACCAUAUGAAUAAGGAUCGGCUAACUCCGUGCCAGCAGCCGCGGUAAUACGGAGGAUCCGAGCGUUAUCCGGAUUUAUUGGGUUUAAAGGGAGCGUAGGUGGAUUGUUAAGUCAGUUGUGAAAGUUUGCGGCUCAACCGUAAAAUUGCAGUUGAAACUGGCAGUCUUGAGUACAGUAGAGGUGGGCGGAAUUCGUGGUGUAGCGGUGAAAUGCUUAGAUAUCACGAAGAACUCCGAUUGCGAAGGCAGUUCACUGGACUGCAACUGACACUGAGGCUCGAAAGUGUGGGUAUCAAACAGGAUUAGAUACCCUUGUAGUC